rnacentral:rRNA from 1 species
GACGAACGCUGGCGGCGUGCUUAACACAUGCGAGUCGAACGCUGAAGCUUGGUGCUUGCACUGGGUGGAUGAGUGGCGAACGGGUGAGUAAUACGUGAGUAACCUGCCCUUGACUCUGGGAUAAGCCUGGGAAACUGGGUCUAAUACUGGAUACGACAUGUCACCGCAUGGUGGUGUGUGGAAAGGGUUUUACUGGUUUUGGAUGGGCUCACGGCCUAUCAGCUUGUUGGUGGGGUAAUGGCUCACCAAGGCGACGACGGGUAGCCGGCCUGAGAGGGUGACCGGCCACACUGGGACUGAGACACGGCCCAGACUCCUACGGGAGGCAGCAGUGGGGAAUAUUGCACAAUGGGCGGAAGCCUGAUGCAGCGACGCCGCGUGAGGGAUGACGGCCUUCGGGUUGUAAACCUCUUUCAGCACGGAAGAAGCGAAAGUGACGGUACGUGCAGAAGAAGCGCCGGCUAACUACGUG